GAAAUAUAAUAAAAAUAAGCUUCUAACUUAUUAUAUAGCAUAAUGUUAAUAUUUCU
rnacentral:tRNA from 1 species